rnacentral:rRNA from 1 species
UACGUAGGGUGCGAGCGUUAAUCGGAAUUACUGGGCGUAAAGCGUGCGCAGGCGGCGCGUUAAGACAGGUGUGAAAGCCCCGGGCUUAACUUGGGAAUUGCGCUUGUGACUGGCGUGCUGGAGUGUGGCAGAGGGAGGUGGAAUUCCACGUGUAGCAGUGAAAUGCGUAGAGAUGUGGAGGAACACCGAUGGCGAAGGCAGCCUCCUGGGCCAGCACUGACGCUCAUGCACGAAAGCGUGGGGAGCAAACAGG